GGGGGCUCAUAUAGAGGAUAGAAAAUCCACAACGAGGUAACAUGUCCAUCUUGGUGACAACAUUGUUUUGAGGUCUUCCAAAAAGUAGCAAACAAUCUUUAGAAGUAGCACUGAAGCUGAAUCACGUAGUAUUGCAUCUAUCGCCACAAAAAUCUCUUGGAUGCACACUUUUCUUUGUGAGGUUCAUGAUAACUUUUAAGCCUCAAUAGUGAUCGACUUCUUUAGCCUCAACGUACUUCAUCCCAUCUUCUAAGCCUUGACGACUAGAAAGUUACAUGUUGCCAAUUAAACAAAUGCUUGUGCAACCUUCAAUAUAGUUCUUUGUUGAUUACCUUGUCAAUUCUGGUCGAACCUUUCAUGUAGUUCCCUUUCGACUCCCUUGUCGACUCUGGUUGAACCUUUCAUGCAUUCCCCACGACUACCCUGUUUAUCCUACUUGAACAUUUCAUGUAGUUUCCUACCGACCUUUCAUGUAUCUCCCUAUUGACUACCUUGUU
rnacentral:lncRNA from 1 species